rnacentral:lncRNA from 1 species
CCGAUCCAACUCACCAACCCAAACACUGAGUCUCAAGCUCAACAUAAGCGAGUCACAAGUAAAAUAAAAUGUAAUAGGCUAUUUUUGCCCAGGCCCAGAUAAAAACCAAACAGAAAAAAUAAAUAAAAAUAUUAAAAGUCCAGUCCAGUUACAAUACCAGCCCAAAUAGCCUAAAUUAAAAAACCCUAAGACCCAAUUAUAGCCCAACGACGUAAACUUUUUUCUCAGAAAGAAACCCUAAUACCUAAUUUCCGCUCCUAGCCUCUGCCACCAUCAACCACUCCUCUGCCACCGUCGCCUACAAGAAAAAGAAAAAAAC